GCCAUAACACGUUGAAACACUGGUUCUUGUAAGAUGUCCGAACUUAAGCAACGUUGAGCCUGGUCAGUACCUAGAUGGGUGACCGCUUGUGAAGGUUAGGU